rnacentral:misc_RNA from 1 species
GUGACUCAUUGUAUUCGAACACAAAGCACGAGUACCUGCCGUGUUUAAUGAACGUGUGAACAGUGGAGUUGAAACACAAGAUCUACAUAUCAUUUUGGGAAGGAAUUAUUGGAUUAUGUGUGUAUUCUUCAUCAGGUAACGAAAGAUAUCAAGCAAGGAAUGAUCACCCGUGAAAGGUAAUCGGUCGUCUGGUGACACCAUCCAGAGUCGAUCACAUCAUGGCGUCGGUGUAAACUUCCGAUCAAACUUGUUGAACCCAAGUACAACUGUCGUAUAUUCGGAUUAGUUGAUACGAUUCACUGUGAAAUAGUCCAGUAAGCACUAGCAGAGCCAACUGUCUGUUGCUCAUAUAUUGGCUGCUUUCUAGCGUGUGUCUCGAAGCCAGAGAGCACGGUUGCAUAUUGGACAGGAUCGCUGUGCAUAUAUCUCGUCUUCCUCGGCCUAAUCAAAUCAACAGUGGUAAAUCGAGCUUGUGUCGUUGAAAUCCCAAACAAACGGGGGAUGAUGUAAAUUGUGAAGAUGAAGACAGAAAGAUGGAGUUACACACUAAGCAACGGAUAUACAUGGAAAAAGUCACACAUAUUGUUUGUGAAAGUGGCUGUUUGUGUGUUGGCCAUUUUCACUUCAACAACAGUUUCACAAGAAGAGUACCCUCCCCAGCAGAUCACGGAACAGCCAGCCUCCGGUGACCCAAAACCGGAGAAUGUGAUCAAACGGCUGACCUGCCAGGCCUCGAGCUACCCGACGCCAGUGUACAGCUGGCUGAAGGAUGGCACCUUCCUGCUCCGAAACACCUCACAGAACGUGUAUGAGAUACCCAACCUACAGCGCAGCGAUGCGGGGGAGUACCGAUGUCUGGCUGGAAACAAGCUGGGAGCCUUCCUCAGUCAACCAGCCCAUGUUGUUGUGGCUUACAUGGAAAUGUUCCAACCGGGAAACACUGAGCCAAAAGAAGUCAAUGAAGGUCGGGCCAUCAUCCUCAACCUGCCCCCACUUGACAGUGUGCCUGACCCAGACAUCGACUGGAAGCAGAACAACUCCACCCUGUCUGCUGAGUCCAUCUACCAUCAUGUGACUCUCCAGAAGAACCUGGUCUUGUUGUCCAACUCCAUAUCUGAUUCAGGAAGACAGUUCCAAGCACGGGCUGUCAAUGGCUUCAGCGGUGCUGGCAGUCAAAGCCAGAGCCAUAUUUUUGUGAUCAAUAUAGUUGAACAUGGCAACCGAUCAGCUCACCUUCUCCCAGAGAUGAUAUCUCCACCAGUGUCUGUUAUAGCUAAUGAAGGGGACUCCGAUGUCAAAGUGGAGUGUGUCAUCAAUGCAAGACCUAUCAACUAUCUGAGUAUCAGCUGGUUUAAGGUGACAGAUGACUCCAGGACGGAGAUAGAACGUGGGGGCAGAUACUUGAUCAGUCCAUUCAAGCGAGUUCUGACGAUAAAGUCUCCAGUGAGGGCUGACAAUGGAGUGUAUGAGUGUGAGGGCAAACUGUCCAUACCUGGUGGCCCUCAGUACCCCAGCGUUACCAACAGGGCCAACAUCACCAUCAGAGAGCGCCCCCUCAUCACCCCGCCCUUGCCUACAACACUGGACAAGGACUUCAGUGAGACAGUGGAGCUGGUCUGUGAGGCGGUGGGGCAGCCUGCUCCCAGUUUUACAUGGUACUACAAUGGCAGAAAGGUCAAACUGCUCGGCAAUGCAAGAUACAGGGACCUGGGAAAUGGCACCCUGAUAAUUGAAAGCAUCGACUUGCCAGACAGUGGUGUGUUUCAAUGUAUAGCCAGUAAUGGGGCUGGGGAGGUGUCUGCAUCAACAUGGCUCAAAGUUAACAGUUCUCCACCCAGGUUUGUGACCUCUCCGCAGGAUCUGACUGUGGUAGAGACUAACGAGGCCCGGUUUCCAUGUGAAGUGACUGGAGCCCCCCAGCCUGUCAUCACCUGGAAGAAAGUGACACCGAGCGGUGAAGAGACAAUUUCGAGUGGUGGUCGCUUCCAGAUCCUUGACAAUGGCUUGCUACUGAUGGCUACUACCCUGAAGUCAGACUCGGCUGUCUACAGAUGUAUUGCCACCAAUAUCCGUGGCAAUGCCUCCGAAGAGGCCACCUUACAAGUCAUCAUCAAGACACAGAUAGUGCGUCCGCCACAGAAUAUCACUGCCAUCCUGAGUACCAGCGCAACCUUGGAGUGUGGCGUCACCCGAGAUGAAAAUGUCCAGGUUGUAUGGAAGUGGUACUUCUACAAGAAGCCGGACUAUGUGGAACAGCCAAUCAGCAACAGUGGUCGGCAUCUCAUCACGCAGCAGGGAAGCCUUAUCAUCAGCGGAGUUGCUGGUCAGGACAUAGGUCGCUACAAGUGUCAGGUCAUCUCACCAGGGGGCAAUGACAGCAGGGUAGCAACACUCAUGGUCAUUGAACUUCCCCGCCGCCCUGUAGUUCUCUCUGUUGUGUUGCAUGCAACCAAAUCAAACACGGUCACCAUCCAAUGGCGACCAGCUUAUGACGGUAACAGCCCCAUACAGCGGUAUAUCAUCAGCUACAGAGAUGAAGUCCAAAAUGGAAACAAUGAGAAUGCGAGAUGGGUGGUGUACCCAGUCAACAUCUCUCCUGACAAAACGAGUCAAGACGUAUCCGGUCUGCAGGCUGCCAGAUACUACAAGUUCAGGAUCAGUGCUGUCAACAGUGUUGGGGAGGGCAACUCUAGUCAGCCCAAACCAGAUCAAGCUCUACAGAUGCCUCCUCAACCACCAAGUUCUCCACCUAAAAAUUUCUACUGCUCCCCUCGUCCAGAUAGAGCUAUAUUAAUCCAGUGGCAGCCUCCAGAUGAAAGUACAUGGAAUGGUGCCCUUCUUGGUUACACCAUCAGCUACAAGAUCGCCAACUACCCCGACACGGCACUUCAGUUCCGUAAUGUGACAGGCCAAAGCAGCACGCAGUACCUCUUAGAUAACUUGGUAUACUACAGUCAGUACGAGGUGAAGAUAGCUGCCUUUAACACCAAGGGCACAGGCAACUACAGCAAUGCCUUCCUAGUAUGGACAGUAGAAGGUCGGCCUACGGCUCCACCAACAAAUGUAACUCUGACAUCUCCCAACUCUACCACACUGUUGGUCACCUGGCUACCGCCAGACCCUUCUCAGAUAAAUGGUGUCAAUCUAGGGUAUACCAUUGAGCUGAGACGGAAAACCAUCACACAGACAGAGCAGGCAGUGUUCGUUCCGUCUGACCCGAACAACCUGUACGACACUCAGGAGAAGUUGAUCUUUGAUCUCAGGAAGUUCACGGAGUAUGUUGCAACUAUCGUGUGCAGGACAACAGCUGGCCCUGGUCCUGCCAGCCCUCCACAAACUGCAAGGACACAGGAGGAUGUUCCUGGAGAAGUUGGUGACCUGAGAUUUGAUAACAUUCAAGACACCACGUUACGUGUGUCAUGGACUGUGCCUCUGAAGGUGAAUGGAAUCCUUCAAGGGUAUAAGUUGGUGUAUGAGAAGAAGAACCAGACAGCCACACGAACAGAAAUAGACCUCAUACCCAGCCUGUCAUCUUACACCAUCCAGCGACUCAUGCCGACCACGAUGUACCACAUCUCUGUUGCUGCCUUGACAAGGAAGGGGAUGGGGCCAUUUUCCUCAGCGGACAUUGCUUCUGGUGUACCACCAGAGCUCCCGACGGCCCCCUACAACCUUGGCAUUACCAACAUGCAGGCCCGGUCAGUGCUGCUGCAGUACCUGCCUGGCUCCAGUGGUAAGACUUCCAUAACCCUGUGGAUUGUGGAAGCUUGUGAAGGAACCAGCAGCACAUGGAGGGAGAUUUACACACGGAAUGAUCCUGAUGCUCGUGAGAUUCUGGUACAGAAUUUGCGGCCUUACACGCAGUAUAAACUGCGGUUGAUUGCAGAGAAUAUUGUGGGCAGGAGCAACGCUAGCUUACCCACAAGGAUCUUUGAGACAUUGCAAGAUGCUCCUGGUGGCCCCCCUGGCAAUGUGACAGUCAGGGCCUUGAAUUCUACAGCCUUCAGAAUCAGCUGGAUUCCUCUUCCCAGCAAGGACUGGAACGGAGAGCCCCAGGGCUACAAGUUGUACUAUAGGAUGAAAGAGAUUGACCCAACAGCUGACUUUACUGUGCUGCCCCUGGAGAAUGGCAUGAACAUGGAGAGCUUCAUCCUGGGCCAACUGCAGGAGUGGGUGGAGUACGAGGUCAAGAUGACCUCCUACAACGAUGUUGGAGUCAGCAGCCACAGUCCUGUGGCCAAAGAGAGGACGAGGGAGUCAGUGCCGAGUGCUAGUCCCAGCAGUGUGAAGGCUGUUGCUAAGUCCUCCACCAGCAUCAACAUCACCUGGGGCCAAGUGCCCCUCCUGCAGCAGAACGGCAUGAUACUGGGAUACAAGAUAAAGUACUCUGCCCCAACAGAAGGGAUAGAUGCCAAGUUUGAGGUGGUGGACCAUAACGAAACCACACACUUUCUCCUCAGCAACCUACGCAAGUUUGUUUCCUAUCAAAUUCAGGUUUUGGCUUACACAAGGAUGGGCGAUGGUGUCCUCAGCAAUGUGGAAACUGACAAGACUUUUGAAGAUUUUCCUGGUCCCCCUAUCAUAAUCUACUUCCCUGAUGUCACCUACUCCUCAGCUAAGAUUGUGUGGAGCCCACCCUCCGAGCCUAACGGCAUCAUCACCCAGUACAAGAUAGCCUACUCCAUCCAGGAGUCCAGUAACCUGAGCACAAUCGUGCUGCCAUCAGGGGUUCUGGAGCAUACAGUGUUUGGCCUCAUCAGAGAAACGUACUAUGUCUUCAGUGUUACAGCAAAGACAAGACUGGGAUGGGGAGAGACAGCCAAUGUCACAGUCUACACUAUGAAUGACAGGAGUCGUCCUGAUAGCCCCUCCACGCCAACAAUUGGUGGUUCUCAAGUGACAGCCCGUGAGGUGACAAUCAGCUGGAGUCCUGGCAAUGACAAUUACGGCCCACUUCGCAACUAUACCAUCCAGUAUCAGUCCUGCGGGGGUGACUGGACCACUGUUCCUGAUGCCGUACACCCAGACACCACCUCCCAUAUUGUUUCAAGAUUGCGCCCCAACACCUGCUACAAGUUCCGAGUGGCGGCCACAAAUGAUGUUGGUACCAGUGACUAUAGCAAUGCAUCUGCUGGAGUCCAUACUCUCUCUGCCAAGCCUGAGGGAGCACCAAGGAACUUGAAGGUGGCAGCAGUAACAACAACAUCUAUCAAUGCAACUUGGGAGCAACCUGAACGGAACACGUGGAACGGCCAGAUUGUAGGCUAUAAUAUCCAGUACCGCCAGCUCCAACUCCCAGACUAUCAGGAGGAGUCGGUACCAUUUGAACAAAAUAGUAUACUUCUCCAGAAUCUCAUUGUGUCGAUGCACUAUGAAGUGCGAAUCCUGGCCUUCAACGGAAUAGGUCAGGGCCCUCCUAGUACCCCCGCGACAAUAUACGUUGGAGAAGCGGCACCGACAGCACCCCCCUCAAAUGAGCAGGUCGCUGCCCAGAGCCCCUCGGUGCUUGUCGUGUCUUGGAACCCUCCACCUCCCAACACACAAAAUGGAGGUCUCUCUGGUUAUAAGGUGUUGUACUGGCUGAAUGGGACUCUGCCAUCUGAUGCGGAGCAGAUCAUUGUGGUGGAGAGCAGGGCGGAGCUGACCAGCCUGGAGACAUUCUCCACCUACUACAUGACAGUACAGGCCUACAACCUGGCCGGCGAGGGGCCCAAGACCUCCGUAUUCAGGGGCAGGACACUGGAAGGAAUUCCAGGUCCACCAGGUGCACUGAUGUUUACCAACAUCACCCUGACAAAGAUGACGGUGAAGUGGUCCCCACCAGCUCGCCCCAACGGUGUCAUUUUCAACUAUGAACUGGUCUACUUCCUACAGAAAGUAGAUGGAGAAACGAAGCUGGUGAAGCUGACCCUGGAUGGCAGUCAGCACCACAUCACCAUAGACAGCCUAGAGGAGAACAGCAGCUACACCUUCCAAGUCAGUGCCAGGACCGCCAAGGGUACUGGCAGCAAGACCAACGGCACUGUCAGCACAGGGCCUCAGCCAGGUUCCCCGGGGUCCCCGAGUGCUCCCACUUUGGAGGAGAAGGAGAAAUUGGUCAUCCUGUCAUGGGUCAAUGGGGCUGAAGGCAACACGGCCAUAUAUGGAUACAUGAUUCAAGCCAAAGCAGAAAGUAAGGAGAAGUACAGUACAAUCAUGCAGAAGAACUCCAGAGAAUCUACGGCCAAAGUAAGCUUCCAGAGCCUCACCCCCAACACAGAGUACACAUUCCGCAUCAUCGCCAUCAACUCUGAUGGAAUCAGCCCCCCCAGUGAACCCUCUGCCCUGAGGCGCACCCCUGGCCCAGAUCAGAGUUGUGAGUUUUCCAACACAGUAUUAGUGACUCCUCUUUCUUUUUCUGUGAAAUUCUGUUUGGCAUUUAUGUGUGUAUAUGCACAUUAGGGAUGAAAGAGGUAGAUUUCUUCACGAGCAACUUGUGUGAAGGUAGGCUGGCUCCAGGAGCUUGCUCAGACACCUUCCCUACUUACCUGUCUUACCUAUUAAAGUAGAUCCUUGUGGAAAUAUGGAAAUUCCAGGAUAGACCCCCAGUAUUUUAUCCUUGGAUCCCUGUGGCAGGUUCCCAGUACACUGGUCUCCCUGUGGCUGAUCCAGGACAGGUUCCCAGUAUACUGGUCUCCCUGUGGCUGAUCCCAGUACACAGGUCUCCCUGUGGCUGAUCCAGGACAGGUUCCCAGUACACUGGUCUCCCUGUGGCUGAUCCCAGUACACUGGUCUCCCUGUGGCUGAUCCAGGACAACUUCCCAGUACACUGGUCUCCCUGUGGCCAAUCCCAGUACACUGGUCUCCCUGUGGCAGGUUCCCAGUACACUGGUCUCCCUGUGGCUGAUCCCAGUACACUGGUCUCCCUGUGGCUGAUCCCAGUACACUGGUCUCCCUGUGGCUGAUCCCAGUACACAGGUCUCCCUGUGGCUGAUCCAGGACAGGUUCCCAGUACACUCGUCUCCCUGUGGCUGAUCCCAGUAUACUGGUCUCCCUGUGGCUGAUCCAGGACAACUUCCCAGUACACUGGUCUCCCUGUGGCCAAUCCCAGUACACUGGUCUCCCUGUGGCAGGUUCCCAGUACACUGGUCUCCCUGUGGCUGAUCCCAGUACACUGGUCUCCCUGUGGCUGAUCCCAGUACACUGGUCUCCCUGUGGCUGAUCCAGGACAAGUUCCCAGUACACUGGUCUCCCUGUGGCCAAUCCCAGUACACUGGUCUCCCUGUGGCAGGUUCCCAGUACACUUGUCUCCCUGUGGCUGAUCCCAGUACACUGGUCUCCCUGUGGCUGAUCCCAGUACACUGGUCUCCCUGUGGCUGAUCCAGGACAAGUUCCCAGUACACUGGUCUCCCUGUGGCCAAUCCCAGUACACUGGUCUCCCUGUGGCUGAUCCCAGUACACUGGUCUCCCUGUGGCUGAUCCCAGUACACUGGUCUCCCUGUGGCUGAUCCCAGUACACUGGUCUCCCUGUGGCUGAUCCCAGUACACUGGUCUCCCUGUGGCUGAUCCCAGUACACUGGUCUCCCUGUGGCUGAUCCCAGUACACUGGUAUCCCUGUGGCGGAUCCAGGACAAAUUCUCAGUACACUGGUCUCCCUGUGGCUGAUCCCAGUACACUGGUCUACCUGUGGCUCAUCCCAGUACACUGGUCUCCCUGUGGCUGAUCCCAGUACACUGGUCUACCUGUGGCUCAUCUUAGUAAACUGGUCUCCCUGUGGCUGAUCCCAGUACACUGGUCUCCCUGUGGCUGAUCCAGGACAGGUUCCCAGUACACUGGUCUCCCUGUGGCCAUUCUGGGCCGACUAAGUCCCAUGCUUGCUUUAGUGUGACUUAGUUGAUUAUUUCACCCCAUUGAUAUUGGUCACCCCUCAUGCCGUCAACCACUGGUUUGCUUUGUCAAUUUCAAGGCCACAUUUAUAGCUGUAAAAAAACAAUCACUAGCUUGUUAUCAAAGUAUGUCUGUAAAGUUUGAGAUAACUUUCUGUGUAUUAUGUAAUAUUUAAUGUCUCAGCUUGCACCAAAAAAAUUUGAUUUACUUUCAUCCCUACUGCACGUGUGAGAGGACCUAGGUUUCUGCAUGGCUUUGUCCUGAUUGAGUUUGUUCGGUAUCUGUCUGUUCUAUCAAUAUCCUUGAGACAGUAAGAUUAACAUUUGUUUAAUUUGUUAACAGCAAACAAAUCUUUGACUUGGAUUAUAUACUUUAAUGCUUCCGAUCUAAAUUGUAUGUUGAGGUAGACUGAGAUAUAUUAUACAGUAAAGUGUAUUUUGAAUGACCUUCCGCCAUUAUGCAGUCAAGUCAUUUCAGAAUGAAUGAACGAUUGAACGAACAAUUGAACAAAUAAACGAAUGAACAAACGAACGGAAUUUAAAACUUUAAAAGUUUGUAACUCAGUUAAUGAUAAAUGUAUGCCUAAUGCCUUUUACAUUUAUUCAUAAUAUUGGUUAUUCAGUACAGUUGUGUAUUGCUGUAACACUACUAAUUCGCAGCAUCGUCUCACACACCAUAGAUAUCGACUUACUAAUAUGUGUAGGCUGUAUCUGGUGCUGCUCGAUUGUUGUACUUUAUACACUUUGUAAUGUCAAGUUUCUACUGUUUAAGAAAUAUUGAUACAAUGUAUAUACAAAUUACAUAUCAAGGGAAGUUUUGUUGUUUUGCUUUGUUGUGACUAUUGUUGCAAAAUGAUAAGUGUGCAAAUUGUCAUUCAAGCUUGAAUAUAAAUAAUAAUUAUCUGUCUGAAUGAGAAGAAGUUAGGACUAUAUGUGAUAUGCAUUCACUUAACAUGCAUUUAAGAAAGUGUGCAGCAUAAGUUUUGUUAAAUCAAAACUUAAAACUUAAAUUUUGCUAGUUUUUCAAUUUAUUAUUAUGGGUAUCAUUAUUAUGCCUAGGUAUCAAGAAUGCAUGGCUUGAUGUUGGUAACUGAUGUGAUGUACUUGUAAUAUAUCUGUUUUAAAGAUUCUGAGAGUUCAUGUGAGAGUAGUUUCCAUUCAUCCUUUUGUUACACCAUUUUACUAAGUUCAGUAAUGCACACUGGUACAUGUAAGUUGCCAAAUGGCUCCAAUUUCCAUUGAUUAGUAAAAUAAUUAAGUGGCAAAACAUGUUUCCUGACCUACUUAGACAUGGAAGUGAUUGGCUAGAUCUAAAUGCUGUGGCACAAAAACUACUUAUUGUUAACAUGUGUGAGUCUAGUGUAGUUUGCACUCAUUCUUUUUUAUAUGCACAAGCAGCUCCUGCACACCAUCUGCCAUAGUUGUAGAAGUCUAACAAGGAAUUGAUCAAAUUGAUGAGAUACUGCAGUGAUCUUUGUCAGUCUUAACAACAAUAUUGAAGAUGUAAUAUGUUUAUCCACUUGCCCAAAUAGAUGCAUUGAAAUAAUAGUUACAGAUAAUAGAAGAUAUCAUUGUUAUUGCAAUCAUGUAAAGUGCAGUUGAACGAUCACCAUGCAUAUGUCAUGAUUUGAUUAAUUAUAUGAACACCUGUGCAGAUACUAUGAUAAACAUACAUGUUCCACAGUAAUAAUUGUGAUAAGCAGUAAGCAAUUUCAGUAUGUGCUCCUUUCUGGUGUUUGUUUCACAGCAGUAGUUAUCCAUGCCAUAAACUAGCCCCUGACAUGGGCUGGGAAUUGUCGUAUACUUGAUUGUGACAUGCUGUUCUUCGUCCCCAGCUGUGGCAGCAGUAGGUAAACCCUUCCACUCCGAGUGGUGGUUCCUGGUCAUCAUUGCCCUGACUGGGGUCAUCGUCAUCCUCGUCAU